AGUGAACGCUGGCGGUAGGCCUAACACAUGCAAGUCGAACGGCAGCACAGUAAGAGCUUGCCCUUACGGGUGGCGAGUGGCGGACGGGUGAGGAAUAGAUCGGAAUCUACUUUUUCGUGGGGGAUAACGUAGGGAAACUUACGCUAAUACCGAAUACGACCUACGGGUGAAAGCAGGGGAUCUUCGGACCUUGCGCGAUUGAAUGAGCCGAUGUCGGAUUAGCUAGUUGGCGGGGUAAAGGCCCACCAAGGCGACGAUCCGUAGCCGGUCUGAGAGGAUGAUCAGCCACACUGGAACUGAGACACGGUCCAGACUCCUACGGGAGGCAGCAGUGGGGAAUAUUGGACAAUGGGCGCAAGCCUGAUCCAGCCAUACCGCGUGGGUGAAGAAGGCCUUCGGGUUGUAAAGCCCUUUUGUUGGGAAAGAAAAGCAGCAGGUUAAUACCCCGCUGUUCUGACGGUACCCAAAGAAUAAGCACCGGCUAACUUCGUG
rnacentral:rRNA from 1 species